CUAAUGGUAAUGACCAAUGGAUGGGUGUGUGCAUGCAGCAGGAUUGGCAGUGUGUGCAUGUCUGCCAUUUAAGUAGCUCAAUCAAGCUUCAUGGUUCUUCAGUAUCGUUUCAUGAUCUUUAUUCAUAUCAGAAGCAUUUAUCGAUCCAUGGCACAAAAUAAGAUGGCAAACAAGCAACACAAGGGAAAAUGAGCCUAGCAAGUAGUAGAUUGGAGACUCAAAACACAGCCUUGCUUUGUCACUCAUACUAGAUCAUUUUGCGCAGAUGUAGAAUCUUUGCAGGCAAGAACUGGAAUGGCUUGGCUUUGUCGAUGAUAAUAUAUUGCAGGAGUGAAAUAUGCAAGAAAUCCAAGUUCCCAUGGUAGACCUGAAAAUAAUAGGGAAACUUUUAUUUUCUGUCACGAGAUUGAAUGAUAUUUGGUACGCUAAAGACUGAAUUUUAAUAAAAAGGUAUAGUAAC